GCCGGGCAGAGACACAACCAAAAAAGAGAAUUUUAGGAGUCAGUGUGGGGAUUCCUCAGGGAUCUAGAACUAGAAAUACCAUUUGACACAGCCAUCCUGUUACUGGGUAUAAAUCCAAAGGAUUAUAAAUCAUGCUGCUAUAAAGACACAUGCACACAUACGUUUAUUGCGGCAGUAUUCACAGUAGCAAAGACUUGGAGCCAACCCAAAUGUCCAUCAAUGAUAAACUAGAUUACGAAAAUGUGGCACAUGUACACCAUGGAAUACUAUGUGGCCAUAAAAAAAGGUUGAGUUCAUGUCCUUUGUAGGGACAUGGAUGAAGCUGGAAACCAUCAUUCUCAGCAAACUAUCACAGGAACAAAAAACCCAAGCACCGCAUGUUCUCACUCAUAGGUGGGAAUUGAACAAUGAGAACACUUGGAGACAGGAAGGGGAACAUCACACACCGAGCCUGUCAUGGGGUGCUGGGAGUGGGGAGGGAUAGCAUUAGGAGACAUACCUAAUGUAAAUGAUGAGUUAACGGGUCCAGCACACCAACAUGGCACAUUUAUACAUAUGUAACAAACCUGUACUUGUGCACAUGUACCCUAGAACUUAAAGUAUAAUAAAAAAAAUAAAAACAUAAAAGUAAUGAGACUCUGGCAAGAGUAAAGAGUUGUAGCCAUUCUGGAGGAAUACCACAGACUUUGUUAAUUUAAAUAUAUUUAUAUCCUCUUUUCAUGAUGAAGAAAAUACUGGAAUUACAUUAACCCUCCUCAAGAAUUGGAGAUGAAGGCAAUAAAUAACCGUGUGAAAGCAUGAAGGAUCAACAGAAGAUGUAAUACUCAAGAAGCUAAGAUUCUAGAAAUAGCAAAUUCUGAGUGGAGUUUAAUAUUCUACAUACAACUCCCCCAUCAGCUGCUUGCUGACUGUGUCUUGUACCUGUCUGUGGUCAGAUCACACACAACAAAAGGGAAAGAAAGGAAGAUAACUUUUAAAGAACUAAAAGGCUAAAUAGAUUUUUUUUUUUAGUGAAACAAUACAAGAAUGAUAACAAUACCCUAGGUUUUAUUUGUAACUUUGGAAAAAACAUAAACUAGUAAUAAUGGCAAACUAGAAUAAAGCUGUGCCCAGACAUCAUCUGCUGCACAGAGAAAAAGUAAACCUUUCCUGAAAUAACACCACAACACCAGUUUGGAAGGGUAGAAAGAAAAUAAUGGCCCAAUAAAACACCAUACCCAGUGAAAAUAAGCUUCAGCAAUGAAGGCAAAAUAAAGAUUGAUCAAAAAAUAAAAAAAUGCAGAUCUUUACAAAAAUAAAUACCUUAUCUGAGAGAAUUCUUCUGACAGAAGAAUCAAGAUUCCAGAGGCAACUAGGGUAGUGCUCAAAAACAUGUAUCUAGGGUAACUAUGAAGAGAAAGAGGAAAAGAAGCAGCAUUAUACCUAAGUUGCAAAUUAAUGGGGGUGAAGGCAGAAUACAAUGAAAUCUGAAGUUUUUGUGCAUUGUUUGUAUGUACGACUAUGAAAAAACACAAGAAAACUUCUGUAACUUACCACAUUCGCUGUAGAUAGGACAGAAGAGGAUGAAACCACAUAAUUUGAUGUUCCUUCCUCAGGAAACUAACCAUCAGGCAAGGAACUGAAACUCUGGAUCACCACGUGCAGACAGAUGCCAGAAUCCCUCAUCCAUCAUGAUCACUUCCUUACCCCUCCCUAAUUCCUGUUCUCCUCUCUACUUUCUCAACUAUAUACACCUCCCAAUUUUAGUCAGAGAUGGAUUUGAUAAUUUAUCUCCUGUUUUCCUAAGCUGCAGCACCUGAUUAAAAGCUUUUGCUUUGGCAAUACUCAUUGUCUCAGUGAUUGGCAUUCUGUGAGCUGAUCAGCAGGACCUAGACAGAACCUCUAGUGUUUUGGUAACAUCUUUACUUUCACCCAUUGUGUUAGCUAUAGUUAUUCUGUUACUUAAUUCCCAAUAACCUUAACUAACAAGAAUAUCCAAACAGUCUUUUCCUUCAUUACCGUAUAGAGUUUUUAGUUAUCAUUAAGAUUUGG
rnacentral:lncRNA from 10 species